GCCCCCAUCGUCCAGCGGUCUAGGACUCCGCCCUUUCAAGGCGGCAACACGGAUUCGAAUUCCGUUGGGGGCACGA
rnacentral:tRNA from 1 species